UAUAAAAGAACUUGCUCGGCGUUUUGCUUUAACUUUUGGACUCGAUCAGUUGAAAACAAGAGAAGCCAUUGCCAUGUUACACAAAGAUGGCAUAGAAUUUGCUUUUAAAGAGCCUAAUCCACAAGGGGAGAGCCAUCCACCUUUAAAUUUGGCAUUUCUUGAUAUUUUGAGUGAAUUUUCUUCUAAACUACUUUGACAAGACAAAAGAACAGUGUAUGUUUACUUGGAAAAGUUCAUGACAUUUCAGAUGUCACUCCGAAGAGAAGAUGUGUGGCUUCCACUGAUGUCUUACCGAAAUUCUUUGCUAUCUGGUGGUGAUGAUGACACCAUGUCCRUCAUUAGUGGAAUCAGCAGUCGGGGGUCAACUGUGCGGAGUAAAAAAUCAAAACCAUCUACAGGAAAACGGAAAGUGGUUGAGGGCAUGCAACUUUCACUCACUGAAGAAAGCAGUAGUAGUGACAGUAUSUGGUUAAGCAGAGAACAAACACUGCACACCCCUGUUAUGAUGCAGACACCCCAGCUCACG